rnacentral:rRNA from 1 species
GACGAACGCUGGCGGCGUGCUUAACACAUGCAAGUCGAACGGAAAGGCCCUGCUUUUGUGGGGUGCUCGAGUGGCGAACGGGUGAGUAACACGUGAGUAACCUGCCCUUGACUUUGGGAUAACUUCAGGAAACUGGGGCUAAUACCGGAUAGGAGCUCCUGCUGAAUGGUGGGGGUUGGAAGGUUUCGGCGGUUGGGGAUGGACUCGCGGCUUAUCAGCUUGUUGGUGGGGUAGUGGCUUACCAAGGCUUUGACGGGUAGCCGGCCUGAGAGGGUGACCGGCCACAUUGGGACUGAGAUACGGCCCAGACUCCUACGGGAGGCAGCAGUGGGGAAUAUUGCACAAUGGGCGGAAGCCUGAUGCAGCAACGCCGCGUGCGGGAUGACGGCCUUCGGGUUGUAAACCGCUUUCGCCUGUGACGAAGCGUGAGUGACGGUAAUGGGUAAAGAAGCACCGGCUAACUACGUG